CWGUUCCCCGAUAUAGCUUUAGGCUAGCGUCGAGGUAAAGGAUUAUGGAGGUAGAGCUCUGAAUGUGUGAUGGCCCCACCUAGGGGUACUGAUCACAAUUAAACUACGAAUGCCAUAAUUUCAUACUCGGCAGUCAGAACAUGGGUGAUAAGGUCCAUGCUCGGUGAGGGAAACAGCCUCAGAUCAACAACUAAGGUCCCUAAAUUUACGCUAAGUGUGUAAGGAUGAGGAAGUGCACAGACAGCUAGGAUGUUGGCUUAGAAGCRACCAUCAUUUAAAGAGUGCGUAACAACUCACUAGUCGAGUGUCUUCUGCGCCGAAMAUGUACCGGGGCUUAAGCGACCUACCGAAGUUUAUGGAUUUGGUAGCAAUACCAARUGGUAGGGGAGCGUUCUAAUUGCSAUGAAAUUCAACCGUAAGGACGGGUGGAGCGAUUAGAAGUGAUUAUGCCGGCAUGAGUAACGUUCGUCAGUGAGAAUCACCCAUGCCGUUUGACCAAGGUUUCCUGGGCAAGGUUCGUCCACCCUGGGUUAGACAAGACCUAAKGUGAGGGCGAAAGGCGUAUUCCAUGGACAACAGGUAA
rnacentral:rRNA from 1 species